rnacentral:rRNA from 1 species
UGGGGAAUUUUCCGCAAUGGGCGAAAGCCUGACGGAGCAACGCCGCGUGAGGGAUGAAGGCCUCUGGGCUGUAAACCUCUUUUCUCAAGGAAGAAGACAUGACGGUACUUGAGGAAUAAGCCACGGCUAAUUCCGUGC